rnacentral:rRNA from 1 species
CACGUAGGGGGCUAGCGUUGUCCGGAAUCAUUGGGCGUAAAGAGCGUGUAGGCGGUCCGGUAAGUCCGUUGUGAAAGUCAAGGGCUCAACCCUUGAAUGCCGGCGGAUACUGUCGGGCUAGAGUCCGGAAGAGGCGAGUGGAAUUCCCGGUGUAGUGGUGAAAUGCGUAGAUAUCGGGAGGAACACCAGUGGCGAAGGCGACUUCCUGGCCUGUUCUUGACGCUGAGGCGCGAAAGCUAGGGGAGCAAACGGG